AUGGAAGAACGCAGAGACCCGGCCCGGGCGUCUCGUAGCCGGUCCGAGGCGGCGUCUGGGUCUGCGGCUCGUCCCGCUCUCACAGUGCUGCCACCCUCCAGAGACGAGCUGCAGCCUUUAGCUGCGGCUCGUCCCGCUCUCACAGUGCUGCCUCCCUCCAGAGACGAGCUGCAGCAGGGUAAGGCUACAGUGCUGUGUGUGGCCAGUAAGGGAUUCCCCUCUGACUGGAAGCUGAGCUGGAAGGUGGACGGCAGCAGCAGGAGCUCUGGUGUCGAUCUGAGUCCCAGUCAGCUGCAGAAGGAUGGACUGUACAGCUGGAGCAGCAGCCUGAGCCUCACUGAGAGUGAGUGGAGCAGAGCAACAACUGUCAACUGUGACGCCACUCACCCAUCCCACAGUGCAGUGACCAAGAGCCUCAACACACAGCAGUGCGAUGAAUGAAAUAUACACACACACACACACUGUCCUAAAUCAGCCACUGCUCAACAAUUAAUCUGUCAUGCUGUUA